rnacentral:rRNA from 1 species
UUAAGUUAUUAAGGGCGCACGGUGGAUGCCUUGGCACUAGAAGCCGAUGAAGGACGUUACUAACGACGAUAUGCUUUGGGGAGCUGUAAGUAAGCUUUGAUCCAGAGAUUUCCGAAUGGGGAAACCCAGCAUGAGUUAUGUCAUGUUAUCGAUAUGUGAAUACAUAGCAUAUCAGAAGGCACACCCGGAGAACUGAAACAUCUUAGUACCCGGAGGAAGAGAAAGAAAAUUCGAUUCCCUUAGUAGCGGCGAGCGAAACGGGAAGAGCCCAAACCAAAAAGCUUGCUUGUUGGGGUUGUAGGACACUCUAUACGGAGUUACAAAGGACGACAUUAGACGAAUCAUCUGGAAAGAUGAAUCAAAGAAGGUAAUAAUCCUGUAGUCGAAAAUGUUGUCUCUCUUGAGUGGAUCCUGAGUACGACGGAGCACGUGAAAUUCCGUCGGAAUCUGGGAGGACCAUCUCCUAAGGCUAAAUACUCUCUAGUGACCGAUAGUGAACCAGUACCGUGAGGGAAAGGUGAAAAGCACCCCGGAAGGGGAGUGAAAUAGAACCUGAAACCGUGUGCUUACAAGUAGUCAGAGCCCGUUAAUGGGUGAUGGCGUGCCUUUUGUAGAAUGAACCGGCGAGUUACGAUUUGAUGCAAGGUUAAGCAGUAAAUGUGGAGCCGUAGCGAAAGCGAGUCUGAAUAGGGCGUUUAGUAUUUGGUCGUAGACCCGAAACCAGGUGAUCUACCCUUGGUCAGGUUGAAGUUCAGGUAACACUGAAUGGAGGACCGAACCGACUUACGUUGAAAAGUGAGCGGAUGAACUGAGGGUAGCGGAGAAAUUCCAAUCGAACCUGGAGAUAGCUGGUUCUCUCCGAAAUAGCUUUAGGGCUAGCCUCAAGUGAUGAUUAUUGGAGGUAGAGCACUGUUUGGACGAGGGGCCCCUCUCGGGUUACCGAAUUCAGACAAACUCCGAAUGCCAAUUAAUUUAACUUGGGAGUCAGAACAUGGGUGAUAAGGUCCGUGUUCGAAAGGGAAACAGCCCAGACCACCAGCUAAGGUCCCAAAAUAUAUGUUAAGUGGAAAAGGAUGUGGCGUUGCCCAGACAACUAGGAUGUUGGCUUAGAAGCAGCCAUCAUUUAAAGAGUGCGUAAUAGCUCACUAGUCGAGUGACACUGCGCCGAAAAUGUACCGGGGCUAAACAUAUUACCGAAGCUGUGGAUUGUCCUUUGGACAAUGGUAGGAGAGCGUUCUAAGGGCGUUGAAGCAUGAUCGUAAGGACAUGUGGAGCGCUUAGAAGUGAGAAUGCCGGUGUGAGUAGCGAAAGACGGGUGAGAAUCCCGUCCACCGAUUGACUAAGGUUUCCAGAGGAAGGCUCGUCCGCUCUGGGUUAGUCGGGUCCUAAGCUGAGGCCGACAGGCGUAGGCGAUGGAUAACAGGUUGAUAUUCCUGUACCACCUAUAAUCGUUUUAAUCGAUGGGGGGACGCAGUAGGAUAGGCGAAGCGUGCGAUUGGAUUGCACGUCUAAGCAGUAAGGCUGAGUAUUAGGCAAAUCCGGUACUCGUUAAGGCUGAGCUGUGAUGGGGAGAAGACAUUGNGUCUUCGAGUCGUUGAUUUCACACUGCCGAGAAAAGCCUCUAGAUAGAAAAUAGGUGCCCGUACCGCAAACCGACACAGGUAGUCAAGAUGAGAAUUCUAAGGUGAGCGAGCGAACUCUCGUUAAGGAACUCGGCAAAAUGACCCCGUAACUUCGGGAGAAGGGGUGCUCUUUAGGGUUAACGCCCAGAAGAGCCGCAGUGAAUAGGCCCAAGCGACUGUUUAUCAAAAACACAGGUCUCUGCUAAACCGUAAGGUGAUGUAUAGGGGCUGACGCCUGCCCGGUGCUGGAAGGUUAAGAGGAGUGGUUAGCUUCUGCGAAGCUACGAAUCGAAGCCCCAGUAAACGGCGGCCGUAACUAUAACGGUCCUAAGGUAGCGAAAUUCCUUGUCGGGUAAGUUCCGACCCGCACGAAAGGCGUAACGAUUUGGGCACUGUCUCAACGAGAGACUCGGUGAAAUCAUAGUACCUGUGAAGAUGCAGGUUACCCGCGACAGGACGGAAAGACCCCGUGGAGCUUUACUGUAGCCUGAUAUUGAAAUUCGGCACAGCUUGUACAGGAUAGGUAGGAGCCUUUGAAACGUGAGCGCUAGCUUACGUGGAGGCGCUGGUGGGAUACUACCCUAGCUGUGUUGGCUUUCUAACCCGCACCACUUAUCGUGGUGGGAGACAGUGUCAGGCGGGCAGUUUGACUGGGGCGGUCGCCUCCUAAAAGGUAACGGAGGCGCUCAAAGGUUCCCUCAGAAUGGUUGGAAAUCAUUCAUAGAGUGUAAAGGCAUAAGGGAGCUUGACUGCGAGACCUACAAGUCGAGCAGGGUCGAAAGACGGACUUAGUGAUCCGGUGGUUCCGCAUGGAAGGGCCAUCGCUCAACGGAUAAAAGCUACCCCGGGGAUAACAGGCUUAUCUCCCCCAAGAGUUCACAUCGACGGGGAGGUUUGGCACCUCGAUGUCGGCUCAUCGCAUCCUGGGGCUGUAGUCGGUCCCAAGGGUUGGGCUGUUCGCCCAUUAAAGCGGUACGCGAGCUGGGUUCAGAACGUCGUGAGACAGUUCGGUCCCUAUCCGUCGUGGGCGUAGGAAAUUUGAGAGGAGCUGUCCUUAGUACGAGAGGACCGGGAUGGACAUACCUCUGGUGUACCAGUUGUCGUGCCAACGGCAUAGCUGGGUAGCUAUGUGUGGACGGGAUAAGUGCUGAAAGCAUCUAAGCAUGAAGCCCCCCCUCAAGAUGAGAUUUCCCAACUUCGGUUAUAAGAUCCCUCAAAGAUGAUGAGGUUAAUAGGUUCGAGGUGGAAGCAUGGUGACAUGUGGAGCUGACGAAUACUAAUCGAUCGAAGACUUAAUCAA